CGGCACGGGUGAGUAACACGUAUCCAACCUGCCGUCUACUCUUGGACAGCCUUCUGAAAGGGAGAUUAAUACAAGAUGGCAUCAUGAGUCCGCAUGUUCACAUGAUUAAAGGUAUUCCGGUAGACGAUGGGGAUGCGUUCCAUUAGAUAGUAGGCGGGGUAACGGCCCACCUAGUCUUCGAUGGAUAGGGGUUCUGAGAGGAAGGUCCCCCACAUUGGAACUGAGACACGGUCCAA
rnacentral:rRNA from 1 species